GGUAGGGGGGGAUAACUAGUCAAAAGAUUAGCUAAUACCGCAUACGACCUACGGGUGAAAGCAGGGGACCUUCGGGCCUUGUGCUAUCAAAGCGGCCAAUAUCUGAUUAGCUAGUUGGGGGGGUAAAGGCCCACCAAGGCAACAAUCAGUAGCUGGUUUGAAAAAACGACCACCCACACUGGAACUGAAACACGGUCCAAACUCCUACGGGAGGCAGCAGUGGGGAAUCUUGCGCAAUGGGCGAAAGCCUGACGCACCGACCCCGUGUGAGUGAAAAAGGCCUUCGGGUUGUAAAGCUCUGUCAAGUGGAAAAAAUGGUUAUCGAAAUAAUACGCCAGUAAAUUGAUGGUACCACUAAAGGAAGCACCGGCUAACUCCGUG
rnacentral:rRNA from 1 species